UUGUCUUUGCUGGAAGUUUUGAGCUGGCGGGGCUGCGAUUGUCACUGCUCCAACGGCAUGGUCACCAUUUUUCUUAUUAUGAUUCUUCUGACCAUACACAGCAUUCGAUUCAUUCUUCCCAUGAUAGGACUUCUUACUGCUUGUAGAAGUAGCUGCAUGUAUCUUUCCACUUCGAAGGCCGCUCUCCACCCGUUCACCUGUCAGUAUAAGUUCAGUGAAACCUGAUGAAGAACUCCCCAGUAGAUGGCUGUAGAAUGGGCCAGUCAGGGUACCCAUGAACAGGUCUACUAA
rnacentral:lncRNA from 1 species